CCAUCAUACUCCAUAGAACGAACUGAUUUCUCUUCUUCUUCUCUUUGGAUCCCUAAAGCUUUAAUAUUUUUUUUUCUAUUUUUUUUCUAACUUUUUACUCAAUUUUUCUACUCCCAAGACUUAUUCCAUAACUUCCUAUUUAUAGAUAAAUUUUUUAUAUUUUUUUGGUAGGAAAAGGAGUCCUAAAAUACUCAGAAAUCAUAUAAAAUCCUUUACAAUUAUUUCUAACC
rnacentral:lncRNA from 1 species